rnacentral:rRNA from 1 species
GUGCCAGCAGCCGCGGUAAGACGAACCGUCCAAACGUUAUUCGGUAUCACUGGGCUUAAAGAGUUCGUAGGCGGCUAAACAGGUGAGGUGUGAAAGCCCUCGGCUCAACCGAGGAACUGCGCUUCAAACCGUUUAGCUAGAGGAAGACAGAGGUGAGCGGAACUGAUGGUGGAGCGGUGAAAUGCGUUGAUAUCAUCAGGAACACCGGUGGCGAAAGCGGCUCACUGGGUCUUUUCUGACGCUGAGGAACGAAAGCUAGGGGAGCGAACGGGAUUAGAUACCCCGGUAGUCCUAGCCGUAAACGAUGAGCACUAGACUGUGGGGACCCUCACAUCCUCUCGGUCGUAGCGAAAGUGUUAAGUGCUCCGCCUGGGGAGUAUGGUCGCAAGGCUGAA